rnacentral:ncRNA from 1 species
GUGACCGAUAGCGGAUAGUACCGUGAGGGAACUGGUGAAAAGUACCGCGGGAGCGGAGUGAAAUAGUACCUGAAACCGUGUGCCUACAAGCCGUGGGAGCGUCGGAUGGAAGCUUGCUUCCAUCUCGUGACUGCGUGCCUUUUGAAGAAUGAGCCUGCGAGUUUGCGGUGUGUUGCGAGGUUAACCCGGGUGGGGAAGCCGU